UAACAAUAUAUUAAUUUUGUCCUAAUAGCUUUGAUUAGAAACAUGAACUUUAUGAUUAGUGUGUAAUAGUGUGUUAUUUUAUUUUUGGUCUAUAUCUACUGUUGAAUGAGCAUAUGUGGGAUUUACACAACUUGCUCUGGUUAUUCUUUACAGAGAUGAGCAUCUUGAUGUCAUUCCAGAAGCCACAGAAAUUCAGGGCCUUGAACAAAGCUUACAUGACUUGAGCAUUGUUGAGGAGGACUUGGAGGAAAAUGUUUUCAAUGACCCAAUGAACAGUGUAUUUUUGUGCCUCAAUAGAAUGGGUGGAGCACUGAAGACAGCACACUCUAUCGAUGGACUUCCUUGCCUGCACAUGAAGAUACUCCUGAUGAGCCUUCUCCCUGUGAUCAUGACCUUGUUUUCCCAGAACCACAGAAUGUCCUUUGUGAAGAUGACAUCAUAGGUGUCAGAGCCUCCAUAGUGUACGAGAACUGCUUAAGACAACUGGCUACAUUUCUGAUCCUGCCUGUGGAUAAAUGCACUGGCCUUCUGAGGACUGGUGCGCCGUGCAACUGUGUUGCACCCUUUGAGAUCAACAUCACCACCAAGGGCACAGCAGCUACUAUCGAAUGGAUCUGCCCUAAUGGAGACAGCUUGUGGAGGUGGAAUUCCCAGCCUGUGAUGAAGUUUGGGAUGCAAGCUGGAGAUUUUCUCUUGUACACCAACAUUUUGUUGUCUGGCAACAACUACGCAAAGGUUGCCCUCUUGUUCAAAUUCAUGAACAUGGGGAUGGUGAACAGGAACACUUUCUUCUCCAUUCAGGACAGUUACUGCGUCAAUACAAUAAAGGACUUCUGGGAAGAGAGAAGGACAGAGGUUCUUUGUCGCCUUCAAGGGAAAGAUGUUGUUGUCCUAGAAAUGACUCUCCUGGUCAAUGUGCACAAUACUGCAGCUACACCACCAUGGAGAAUGACACCAAGGAGAUCAUUCAUGUUGCCACCAUAGACAAGUGGCAAACAUCAUGGAACUCUGUCGUCUUGGAGAAGGAGGAUUUCAUCCAGACUGGACAAGCUUACAUCAGAGAUAAAGCUAGUGGAGAUCUGCACAGAUGCUCAUGCCCAGAUUGGUGCCCUUAUGAACCCAGACAAAGGCAAAUACAAGGCCCUUGGAAUUCAUCACUGUCUGGACAUAGGGCAUGGUGCAAAGAACCUUGCCAAAAAAAUUGCAGCAGUAAGCGUAAUAACUGGCUAAUGUUGUGAAACAAUUAUUAACCAUAAAGUUACUAUUCUGUACAUCAGGGUUAUUGAACUAUGUGCAGUUGAUGGAUGACAGUAUGGAAGUUUUCAUUGUACUCAAAGACAACAGAUUUUGUUUACUUUCCUCUGCCAGAAGAUGUGUUACUCAUUCUAGACAUUUGGUGUAGUCAUUUAGUGUUUUCUUUUUUUGGGGGGGGGGGGGUGUUGAACAUUUACACUUUCAUCUCUACACACAGACUAUAGUUGAAUGCCUGUAUUUUACAGAUAAAGCAAAAGAUAAAAGGAGAGUCCAUCCUCUUCAACUGGUUGAAGGACAUAGUCAACCAUUUUCGGUGGUGUUGCAAGACUGCUGACACACGUCGGCAGUUUCUUGCAUUAUGGGUUGGCAUCCUUCACCAUAUCUGCAACAUUCACACCUGGACUAUGGGAAGUUGCAAACACGGGCACCUUGAAUCGGAUCAAAUGCGGGGAAAGAUGUGGAUCCAGAGAGACUCCCAGUGCCACAAAGCUUUAGUGGAUAUAGUUCUCGAUAAGAGGUGGCAGAAAGAUGUUCACAACUAUCUGCAAUUCAGAUCGACUGCAGACCUAGAGUCAUUCCAGAAUCAUAUCCUGAUGUAUGCCAGCAAGCACUUUGCUUUCAGCCCCCCAGUUUAUGCGGCAAGAGUUCUGCUUGCUGCUUUGGACUACAGUUUCCACCGGAACCGACCAACAAUGAAAAACGUUGGACGGUAAAGAGAUUUUCAGAAGAUUGUAUAAGAAGAACGGUAUGCCUUGAAAUCUGAAAAAACCUACGGAUACAUUUCCGAGUUGCAAAGAAGGAUUGUGAAGAACAGACUCACAAGUGGAGUGGGGAUGCCUAGAAGGAGGAGCCUUCUCCCAGAUGACCCCAGACAGCUUGGUUUGGUGCCCCCCGUACCUGCACCAGCCACAUCAGAAUUGUUGCAGAAACAAGUCAGAAGAGGUCUAGGACCGUUAUUCCAACCAGCAUCUGAUGUGGAAGGAUCCCCACAGGAGAUCACCUUGCAUGUGUCCUGGUACUUGUCAAGCAGGAUCACAAGGGAAAGAACUUCAGUUCACUGACAAAGUCAUAGCUUUUACUCUUCAAAAAGAGAAAUUUAUUAACAUUAAAUUCUGUUCCUACCCUCCUCCAGUGGUUAUUUCAUGUUUUUCCAAUUUGUACACGUUUCAUCUUAUUCUGCUAAGUCCACUGUGACCAGCGCAUAUUAUUUUCAGUAGGUAGCCUAAAUUACAGUUUACAAUUUGAACAGUAAUGAUAAGUAAGGCUACACCUGUCCCCUGUUAUGUAAAUAUAAGUAACUAAAAUUGGUAUUGGAAAUGUUAUGGCAAAGUUUGAAAUUCUAAACACAUGUUCAAAUGUAUAUAAUGAAAAUAAAAACACCAUGUGCUUCUA